rnacentral:tRNA from 1 species
CUCUAGGUAGCUUAUAUGUAAAGCUUUGAGUUCUUACCUCAAAGAUGUCUGUUAAGACUCUGGUGG